AUGGCGAAUUUCCCUUUGAACCCAGCCCCAUUCAUACCCCCUAAUCACCAGAUCAUCAAUGUGGAAGGGAGACCAGCUCGGGCUCGUGUGGUUGCCGGCGUGGUCCAAAGAACUCAUGAAGAAUGGGUUAUUGCGACCAUCGUCCCCAUGCCUAAUCUACCCGUGGCAUUCAACAAUAUCAGAGAGGUACUAUCUGAAUUCCUCACUGAUAUCAAGCAUAUAGGUUUUUCCGAAAUCACUCCAUGCCCGUUCGGUCAGGCCUACAUCAAGCUCGACAGUGUGUUUGACAGAGACACUCUGCUCCGAGAUAAUCCACACUCGUUCACAGAUGUGCACGUGAUCUUUCAAAAGCACAAUGAAGGGAUG
rnacentral:rRNA from 1 species